GUAAUUUAAAAAACCAUUAACGUAUUUUCUCAUCUCUGUUGUCUUAUUACCGAAUUUAGUCUCUUAAAAAACGUAUAAUUUAUAAUUAUGUCAAAAAAACAUUUUCCUCUGCCGCAUAUGGUCGUUGUGACCAUUUUUAAAGACACCAAAUUACAAAAAAAAAAAAAAUUUACUUGGUUUCAAUAUUGUAAAAACUGUUAUUAAUGUUAAUCAACUGACAUUUAUUUUAUCGCUAGAUAAAUUAAUGACUGUAAUACAUUUUUCGUGUCGUUGUAUCAGCCG
rnacentral:lncRNA from 1 species